rnacentral:lncRNA from 1 species
AAGAAUUGGAUAGCUAAUUCAGAUUAUUCUCAUCAUUUGACCGGUGAUAAGUGUAAGUUUUAUGAGUUUAUUCACUAUGAAGGAAAUGAUGUUAUUGUAACAGUUGACAACAUAGUUCAUCGAGUGGUAAAUGAAAGUGUCGUGAAGAUAGAGGAUGGAGUCAUCUUGAAAAGCGUUUAUCAUCUGCUCGGCAUGGUGUCUUAAUAUUCUUGGUGAAGUUGAUUAAAUUCAUAUAUGGAGAGUGUAAGAGGCUUACAUGUGGCAGGCAUACUAGGAAUAUUAAUUGGGCUUAAGCAUUUGGGCCAAUGGUUCGAACUUAGCGAGUUAUUGAUGCUAGUAGGCUAGGUUAUUACAAUGCGACAUGCAGUUACUGUAUAAUUACUCUAAAACUGCGAAAGAGCUAAUUUUAGAUUUUUUUUCCACUCUUGAGAUGCCAUAACUAUUUUUUUCCGAAAGAUCUUUUUACUCUUCAUGUGAUGCUCCAAUAGUCCCACAUCAGAUUGAAAAGAAAAAAUGAUUGGGAAUAUAAAGAUUAAGGGCUUUAUACAAUAUUGGUAAUUGGGCUUAAACGCUUUAGGCCGGUGAUUUAGGUCCAAUAAGUUAUG